rfam:Drosophila erecta strain TSC#14021-0224.01 Ctg01_7359, whole genome shotgun sequence.
AUUUCGUGAUGAAUGACUUUUAUACCAUCUUUCGACUGAAAAACACUUUGAUGUAUACAAGUUUUCACUGAAUUUUAAA